UAAGCUACCCCAUGGGAAGGUCAUGAAUGUUGUGGGUGUCAGCCCUGGUUAGUCUCUUUUCUCCAGACCUCCAAGGUGCUAUUUUCUGGCACAAGGACCCAAAAGAGACCAGGGAAAUGGAUAUGCUUCAGCCUAUCCUCCUGCCAUCCUUAUGUUGGAUAGUACUUUCCAAAGAGCUGCUUGAGGAAUAUCGAAGUAAUUAUGCCAUGAUUGGUAGGCAUUGGAUGAUCAGCUGAAGCCAAUUGGGAGGAAAAGUGAGAGAAGCAGGUGAUGACCAGAGCGAAUGAGAAAUCACUCAUGCCACACCCAAGCAGCUUAGCAUCCAUUUGGGCUGGACACAACCCUGUAUUCAUUCAGGAGAGAAGCCAUGAUUUGCCUCACCCACUGCCUCCUGGUUCAGCCAUCUGUGGUGUCUGGUGGAGGAAGGCCCAGAGUGCUCCUUCAACUGCUGAGCCCCUUCUGAUGUCAGCUGCCCAGUCACCUGUACUUCCAGAGCACUGUUCAGCAGCAUCUCCUUGCUUUUUGGGUGUGUUCAGAAGUGAAGCAGCCAGAGGUGCUCUGCAAAAUGUUCCCCUUCUUGUCUUUCACUGUGAAUUGACACUCAUUUAUCUUCAACCUGCCAUUGUUGUGGUGGGUUUUUAUUUAAUUUUACACCAUCACGAAGCAGUUAACACUGGGAGGGACCUCUCAUGAUCAUCAAGGCCAAAGCCCUCCGUCCUCCUUUGCUCAAAGCAGGGUCAGCUAAAGUAGGUUGCUCAGUCACUUUCUGAAUACCAGCACAGAUGGAGACUCCACAACCACUCUGAAAAACCUGUGCCAGAGUAUGAUCACCUCUACAGCAAUAUUUUUUCUUUUGUUUAAAUGGAUUUUCUUAUAUUUUAGUGUCUGCACAUUGCUUCUUGUCUUUUCAACGGGUACCACCACAAUGCCUGCUUGUGGCCUAAGUACCUUAGUAUCCCCAUUUCCUUUUUUAGAAUUUCUUAAAUUUCUUGUUGUCUGAUUUCUUCAGCAUCUCAAAGUUUCCCAGAAUGACACCCACGUCAACCACUCCUCCUUGUAUUGUACAAACUUGCUGAUGGUGCAGUCUGCUUUGUUAUCUAGAUCAUUAAUGAAGAACAGUCACAUGUUUCAAAUGUUUUUAUCCACUGGAAGCUCAUUUUCUCCUUUGAGCUUUCUAUUUAUGAAUAUCCUAGUUGCAGAAAGUAUAUCCAAAUGAUUCUUCAUUAUUCACCUGUGUGUUUUAUGUGGAACAUGAACCCAUGAAAUUAAGUGAAUCAUAUACCAAUCAAAUUUGUAACAGAAUAUUUCCAAGAAAGUAGUCUUGUUUUCAGAAUUAUCCUCAUGGAAAAAAACAUCCAGAGGAACACUU